rnacentral:rRNA from 1 species
AGGGUUUGAUCCUGGCUCAGGAUGAACGCUGGCGGUAUGCUUAACACAUGCAAGUCGAACGAAAGUUUUCCAACUUUAGUGGCGAACGGGUGCGUAAUACGUGAGAAUCUACCCUUAGGAGGAGAAUAACUGCUGGAAACGGCUGCUAAGUCUCCAUAUGCCGAGAGGUGAAAUAGUUUUACUGCCUAAGGAUGAGCUCACGCCUGAUUAGCUUGUUGGUAAGGUAAAGGCUUACCAAGGCCACGAUCAGUAGCUGGUUUGAGAGAACGAUCAGCCACACUGGGACUGAGACACGGCCCAGACUCCUCCGGGAGGCAGCAGUGAGGAAUUUUCCGCAAUGGGCGAAAGCCUGACGGAGCAAUACCGCGUGAGGGAUGAAGGAUUUUGGUCUGUAAACCUCUUUUCUCAAGAAAGAAGUUCUGACGGUACUUGAGGAAUAAGCAUCGGCUAACUCCGUGCCAGCAGCCGCGGUAAUACGGGGGAUGCAAGCGUUAUCCGGAAUCAUUGGGCGUAAAGCGCCUGUAGGUUGUUUAAUAAGUCUGUUGUUAAAGACUGGGGCUUAACCCCAGGAAAGCAAUGGAAACUACUAGACUAGAGUAUGGUAGGGGUAAAGGGAAUUUCUAGUGUAGCGGUGAAAUGCGUAGAUAUUAGAAAGAACACCGGUGGCGAAAGCGCUUUACUGGACCAUUACUGACACUCAGAGGCGAAAGCUAGGGUAGCCAAAGGGAUUAGAUACCCCUGUAGUCCUAGCCGUAAACGAUGGAUACUAGAUGUUGCGCUUAUUGUGCAGUGUCGUAGCUAACGCGUUAAGUAUCCCGCCUGGGGAGUACGCUCGCAAGGGUGAAACUCAAAGGAAUUGACGGGGGCCCGCACAAGCGGUGGAGCAUGUGGUUUAAUUCGAUGCAACGCGAAGAACCUUACCAGGGCUUGACAUACUGCAAAUUUUCUUGAAAGAGAAAAGUGCCUUCGGGAAUGCAGAUACAGGUGGUGCAUGGCUGUCGUCAGCUCGUGUCGUGAGAUGUUGGGUUAAGUCCCGCAACGAGCGCAACCCUCGUUUUUAGUUGCCAUUUUAUGGGUUCUCUAGAAAGACUGCCGGUGACAAACCGGAGGAAGGUGUGGAUGACGUCAAGUCCUCAUGGCCCUUACGGGUUGGGCUACACACGUGCUACAAUGGCAUCUACAGUGGGUUAAUCCCCAAAAGAUGUCUCAGUUCGGAUUGUCGUCUGCAACUCGACGGCAUGAAGUCGGAAUCGCUAGUAAUCGCGUAACAGCAUGACGCGGUGAAUACGUUCCCGGGCCUUGUACACACCGCCCGUCACACCAUGGGAGUUGGUUCUACCCGACGGCCGUGCGCUAACUUUUGAGGCAGCGGACCACGGUAGGAUCAGCGACUGGGGUGAAGUCGUAACAAGGUAGCCGUA